AGAGUUUGAUCAUGGCUCAGAUUGAACGCUAGCGGCAUGCUUAACACAUGCAAGUCGAACGGUAGCAGGUCUAGCUUGCUAGAUGCUGACGAGUGGCGGACGGGUGAGUAACGCGUAGGAAUCUACCUUGUAGUGGGGAAUAACUUGGGGAAACCCAAGCUAAUACCGCAUGAGCCUCAAGGGGGAAAGCAGGGGACCGA
rnacentral:rRNA from 1 species